UGUGCCACAGCCACAGCAAUGUGGGAUCUGAGCCACAUCUGUGACCUACACUGUAGCUCAUGGAAACAUUAGGUCCUUAACCCACAGAGCGAGGCCAGGGACUGAACCUGAAUCCUCAUGGAUACUGGUCAGGUUUGUUUCUCCUGAGCCACAACGAGAACUCCGAGGGUGACCUUUCAAACGGAAUGUGCUAGCACUUGGUCAAGUGUUUUUCAGAUAGUGAGUAUCCACGAUAUAUUUCUGGAAUCAGGAAGAGUAGCGAAGUUUCGUCAGUGUCUUUCAUCCAGGGGAUUUUAUCCCCUUUUGCCUGGAGUCCUGCUGUUCCUAUAACUGCACCUCUCCCUCCUGGGCCAUGCCAUAAUUUUUACAUGUCACAUUUUUGCCCAGAAUUCUUCAGUCACUUUCUUCUUCUUUUUUAAAUUUUUUCAUUUUCAUUUAUUUAUUUUUGCUUUUUAGGGCUGCACCUGUGGCAUAUGGAGGCUCCCAGGCUAGGGGUCAAAUCGGAGCUACAGCUGCUGGCCUAUGCCACAGCCUCAGCAACGUGGGAUCCGAGCCAUAUCUGCAACCUACACCACAGCUCAUGGCAACGCCAGAUCCUUAACCCACUGAGCAAGGCCGGGGAUCAAACCCGCAACCUAAUGGUUCCUAGUUGGAUUCGUUUCCGCUGAGCCACAAUGGGAACUCCUCUUCUUUUUUUUUUAAAUCACAGAAUAAAGUCCAAUUUCUAACAUGGCAUUUAUGUAUAGAGUGGGGAGCCACCUUUUUCCCAUCUGGAAUAGGAGGAUAGUAGUGCCAAUUUCAUAGACGCAUUGAGAAGAUUAAGUGAAUAUUGUCUUUUUCCACAAGUCUUUCCAGGCUGGCUUGCUAUGUUUCUCUCAGCAUGUCUUACUUCUUCUCAUGGCUACAUAUUUGUUUUGCCUAGGACUCUAGCCUUGGAAAUGCCUGACCAUCACCUCCCAUUUUUCAGUCCUAAAAAUUCCUUUGGGCCCUGCCAGGCUACCAAUACUCAUUCUUAUCUCUAAGAACAUCUUUAUUCUGUUCUAUACAGAGUCUCAUAGUAGACAAUAUAGCCAGUUUCCUACCCAAAUGUUAAAACCAUGCAUACAUUGCCUUCCUGGUGGCCAUAUUGCUUCCACAUGAAUAAUUUCAGUGUUGAUGAGCUAAACUUGGGCCGCUCAUCCCAUUUUUUUUCAGCAAGUCUAAUUAAAUAACUGCAACAUGUAAUUAUCUUUUUAGUCAUGACAGUCUUGCCUUUUUAAAAUUUUCAGUUCUUCCAGAGGAACAAAGUAACUGCUGGAAAGGCACUGAUUGUAUUUAGGUCUAAAAUUAUAAUUUCACGACAUUGGUAGUUAAACCAUUGCUACUACUUUUCUUUUCUUCCUUUACUGUUCCUUCGGGGAGAGGACUUAGCACUACAGGGCUUGUGAUUAUUAUGACAAUGACUAGAACAGAAAGAAGGCAAAGAAAACCCUCUUGGUUGAUGUCUACUGAUACUUGAACCAACUUUACUUAGACGACUUUAUACUUAAACAGUAUUUGAAUCUUUGAAAAAAAUUUGUUGCAAAACUUUUACUUGUUCUAUCCCUUUUGGUGAAUUCUUCUAGUCUUUUUAAUAUUUAUAUACAAAUAUAUCCAUAUAUAUAUAUUUGCUUUAGUUUUUAUAAAAAUUGGGGCUACACUCUAUAUGCUGCUUUGUAUUUCCUUUUUAAAAGACUGAAAAAUGUGCAAAUGACACUUUUUCAUGUCAGUAUAUAAAGACUUAAUUUUUAAUGGCUCCGUGUGGUGGCACAACUGACCUAUAUUUUUUUCUUAUUGAUCAACACAUGUUAUUUCCAGUUGAUUCUUGAAUUUGGAUUUCUUUACCAUAAAAGAUAUUAAAAAGGUAAACGACCACUACACUCCUAUUCAAAAAUUCACCCAGGGUUAAGAGUUAACUUCUGUCACCACAAAGUUUAUGCUGUGGAAUGCCAAAGAUUGUCAGAAACUCACCAGAAGCGAGAAGACAGGCCUAGAACAGAUUCUCUCUCUGCCCUCAGAAGGAACCUGUCUUGCCAAUACCAGACCUUGGACUUUCAGCCUCCAGGUCUGUGAUUCAAUAACCUUCUAUUGUUUAAGCCACUCAGUUUGUGGUGUUUUGUUAAGCAGUCCUAGAAAAUGAAUAUAUUCAGUUUAAAAAAAAAAAAAGGUUGUUUAGUGUUUAAGAUAAAGAAUAUUGGGGUGACAGUUCAUGAUUUUGAGUGAAGGCCUAUCUAGGGUGACUGUGUUGUGUCAUAGUGUCUAUCCAGUGAUAUGCUGUAAGACAGUAACUGUGAUACAGCACAAGGCUUCUGGGAAGUGGCUCAAACUAUAAAAAAAGAAUGUGUUGGAUGUUAGGGCAGAGACCAAGUUACUGACCAGAGAUCGGGAAUGGUGAAAAGGAAAGAAUUAUUGAGAGCUUUCCAUAGACAAGGGUGUGGUAACCUAGGCUAUGUGUUCUGGCUUUUAAUCAAAUUGGGUAAUGCAAACAAGUAAAUAAUAAUGAAUUAUCUCUAGAGAAUGUAGCCUUCCUCUACCUCCAUUAAUAUCUCCUUCAAGGAUCUAAAUCUGAGAUUUUUAGCAGCAUAUGAUAGAUGACCUGAUUUUCUGGGAAAUCUAGGGGCACAUGAUUGAAUACUGUAUGUGUUACAUCAAUGUGCAUAUUUAUGAACAUAAAUUGCUUGCAGAAAGUUAUACCAGCCAUUCUGUUUUCAAGAUAUUGGCUAGACAGAGACAGUAGAAAAGGUAAAGAUAAAGGUUCUCCUUGGAACAAAGCCUCAUUCUCAAAACCGGGGUCCAUGCUGGGGAUGCAGACUGAGAAGCUGGGCCUGCCUGGAAGUUCUAAUCAGGAUGAAGCACUGUAACAUUUAGACACAUCAAACGAAUGUUCCCCUUACCUUUAAAAUUUGUGACUCACCGUAUUAUACUCCUAUAACAUACAAUAUUGUACAGCAACUACACUUCAAUAAAAACAAAGAAAUUAAUGUCCCCCUUAUGUAGAAUUUCCUCCUCCUCUACUUAAAACUUCCUUGUUCUUCAGGGCACAUUCUGGAAUAGUCUCCUCCAUAGAGCCUUCCUUGCCCUGAGCCCCAGAGCUCUGUCAUGUCUCUGAACCAGUACACUUUUAUUUUUCAUGCUUUAUUUCCUAGGCAACUAAAUGGUAAUUACAAGACUGUGUGAUCACAUUUUACUACAGUUAGAUUUAAAACUCCACAGUGGUAGAGACUUUGCCUGCUUUAUUCACCUUGGCACACCACUGGGCACGUAGUAGGUGCUCGACAAAUUUUUUUUUUGGAUAAAGGGUUGCACAUAUAUGUAUAUUGCAACUUCUCUUCCCACUGUUAUUUGAGGUUAAAUUAUUUUUGCUGGAAAACAACUCCCCUUCUCUGCUGGCUAGAUAUGACCCAUAAACCACAGUUGCAGCCUCUGCUCUACAAGUAAUUUAUAGAACCCACAGUAAUUAUCUCUCUAUACCCCAACAGUUCUUGGCAUGAGAAUGGUAGAGAUCAGAUGGUGGCAAAUAAAUGCACAAGAACACCCAAGUCAUGUUUUGAACUACUGAGGUUUUUUCUUUUUUAUUGCAAAACAUUUGUUACAGAAAUUUCAGAAAGUUUUUCCCGUGGUAUCUGCCAACUUCUGCUUCGAAUUAUAUAUCUAAACGAACAAGCUCAAAGUGCAUUGUGAAUCCAAUAACAGACCUUUAAAAAAGAACAAUUCCUCUAAGGAUUUAUAUAUAUUUAUAAUGCUGAUAGAUAUGUAAACCGCUGUCUAUCUAUACACAAAGAAGGAAAAGAUGUGUAUACCUUUAAGAAACCCAAUUGCAAAAUUGUUUUAUUUAUAGGAAUUUGUUCAAAAAUGAUAUUUGAAUAAUCUUCCCCAUUAUAAACUAUGGUUAGAAUGUGUACAAAUGAGAAUCUAAGAUAUGUAUUAUGAAAUGGCUAUGAGUACAGUAUACUGCAUGUACUGUUUUGCACAGCAAGAGCAGCAAUAUAAACUCAGGUCAGACACUGUAGUGACAGGAAGCAGAUAAGCCUUGAUACUAUGCUAUGUUACUCUUCUUCUGAAUCUCCCUCAGAAAGACCCUACAUGUGGGUCCAGAAUGAUGCAGCUAGCAAACAUACACACACAUAUCAUUUGGGAGAAGAGAAAUAACCCUGAAUAGGGUGAGUUCCUUUCCCUCCCACCUCAAUUUUCAGUGUAUUUUGUGUAUACACUCCCUAAGUUGGAAUCAAGAAUAUGAUCCUGGUAGGCUCUGAUUCAGAGGUCCCAAACUAUUGCUUUGGGACUGAAAGCUGCUGGCAGACACAUUUGCUUGGCUAUCACAAUGUUUGCAAAUCUGAAUGUGAAUGUCUUUGUAGUAGGACAUGUGUUCUCUCCUGUCCUACAAACCCUACUUCCUCCUGUGGUCUUUUACCAGUCCAGUAGACACAUUUGUUUCUGGAUCCAGGUCCUCCACCUAUUUGAGUAUGCAACCCCAUGAUCUAGAUGCAGAUGGCCAGUGGUGAUACGUGGGGAGUUGGGGUGAAGAUAUGAGGGACUCUUUUCUUUUGGGAUUCAGACAGGCAAAGAAUGAUGAAACUGAUGCCAGCACCAGGCAAGUUAGGAGCAUGGGGCAGAGUUGAGAGGACAAAGCUAAAUUAGUGGGGAAAAUGAGGGAUGGACAGUCUGAAUGUCUGUAGCCACUGUCUUGGCUUACUGUGCCAGAGCCCAUAGGGGAUUGAGGUGAUGUGAGCAUGAGUCAAUUGGUCUGGCAAAAAAAAAAAAAAAAAAAAAAAAAA
rnacentral:lncRNA from 1 species